UACGGGGGGGGGCAAGCGUUGUUCGGAAUUACUGGGCGUAAAGGGCUCGUAGGCGGCCAACUAAGUCAGACGUGAAAUCCCUCGGCUUAACCGGGGAACUGCGUCUGAUACUGGAUGGCUUGAGUUUGGGAGAGGGAUGCGGAAUUCCAGGUGUAGCGGUGAAAUGCGUAGAUAUCUGGAGGAACACCGGUGGCGAAGGCGGCAUCCUGGACCAACACUGACACUGAUGAGCGAAAGCCAGGGGAGCAAACGGGG
rnacentral:rRNA from 1 species